GAGGCUGGCGGUGGCCCGGGUGUGCUCAGCAUCCCCGGGCGGCGGGGAACGGGCAGACCCGACUGGAUCCUCCCUCAGCGCCCACUCGUGGAAGGGGCAGAUGGUGCGCAGGGGCACCGCGCUGCUUCUGUGAGCCCCCUGGGCCCUGAUCCACACGUGUCUGGGAGAUGAAUUUGUGGGUUCGGUUCCUGUCUAGAAAGUGUCAGAGAUUUGAUAGGAUCAAAAUCAGAGACUUGCCUUGGAGGGGUGCUUCUAGUCAUGCCAGCCUGGGAAGCUGGAGGGCCAGUUUUGGGUCAGGAAACCCAUUAAAGAAUUGUUUUAAUGCCUUCGUGAAUUUUUUCAAAAAGCAAUGUUUUUUUCUCAUGAAAUAAUACUCUUUCAUUACCAAACUUUGGGGAGAUGAUCUAAUUAAUAAGGUGACUUCCCAGAGACAUGGGCUGUUAAGGUUUUGGCAUGCUGCUUCACAGUUUUUAAAACAGUGCUGUGGUGAACAGCUUUCAUGAUGCCUCCUUAGAGCGGCUCUGAGCAUUUCCUGCGGGCAAAUCCCUAGAAGAGGCCGGCGGGCCAAAGACUAUGCUGCAUUUUGCCAAAAUGCCCUCCAGAAAUGCGGGGCCAGCCUGCCGUCCACCCGCUGGUGAGCGGGCAUGCCCGCUUGCCUGUCCUCUUGCCAGCCCUGAGAUAGGUCAUUGCGUGAUGUCUUUGGCAGUCUGAUAGGCGAAACACCCCUUUUCAUCACUUGAAUCCUAAUUUCUUUGACUGCUGGUGAUGUUGAACAUCUUUUCAUUUUAUUAUUGGCCAUUUGGAAUAUUGCCUGUCUGUGUUCUUUGCCCAUUUUUUAUUUUUCUGUUGGGCUGUGUGUCUUUUUCUUAGGGAUUCUAAGAGCUUGUUACCGUAAGGAAUUUAGCUCUUCUCUGUGCCGUAUGCUGCUCUGUACAAGAGCGUAAAUGCAAUGUAUGGUCGGGCGCGGCGGCUCACGCCUGUAAUCCCAGCACUUUGGGAGGCCAAGUUGGGCAGAUCACCUGAAGUCAGGAGUUUGAGACCAGCCUGGCUAACAUGAUGAAACCUCGUCUCUACUAAAAAAUACAAAAAUUAACCGGGUGUGGUAGCGGGUGCCUGUAAUCCCAGAUAAUCGGGAGGCUGAGGCAGGAGAAUUGCUUGAACCCAGGAGGUGGAGGUUGCAGUGAACCGAGACGGUGCCACAGCACUCCAGCCUGGGUGACAGAGCGAGACUCUGUCUCAGAAAAAAAGUGUAUUGUACAACAGUACAAUAACACAGAAUAUUGUACAGUAGUACAAUAUACUCUUGUACAUUGCAUUUAUUUUUCUGUCAUUUUUCUUUUGACUUUGGAUUUUGGUUUUUUGUUUGUUCAACCUUUUUUUUUUUUUUUUUUUUUUUUGAGACAGGGUCUUACUCUGUGUACACCCAGGCUGGAGUGUAGUGGCGUGAUCAUGGCACUGCAGCCUCAACCUCCCCAGGCUCAGGUUUUCCUCCCACCUCAGCCUCCCCAGUAGCUGGGACUACAGGUGCACGUCACCACGCCUGGCUAGUUUUUGUAUGUUUUUGUAGAGAUGGGGUUUUGCCAUGUUCCCUAGGCUGGUCUUGAACUCCUGGGCUUGAGUGAUCCACCCUCCUUGGCUUCCCAAAGUGCUGGGAUUACAGAUGGGAGCUACUGUGUCCUGCCUUUUUAUUUUUUUACUACACACAAGUUUGAAGUUCUUCUGUAGCUAAAUCAAUCAAGUUUUCUUUUGUGGUUUCUGGCUUUGGGGUAAGGCCUGGAAUAGCUUUUACCACUCUAAGAUUUCAUAAUCAUUCACCAGUUUAAUCCCUGCAUUCCAAAGUAAGAGAGCAGUGGAGGGCAUGGAGGGGUGUGACCUAGGGCUCUUGGGGGAUUCCUGGGCCAGAGUGUGUGGCACGUAAUAAACAGUUUCUCAAAACAGGGAACACUUGUACUCCUUUUUUGAAGCUACUGAUGUUCAGAGAUUGGUUGGUUGGUGCUUUUUAUUUUUUUAUUAAAUUCUAAGGAGGCCUCAACAGUGCCUUGUGAGGCCUUCAUUGGAGGAACAGGAGGGGCGUCUGUCAUUGUCAGACUCUCCUGUUGUGAGAGGCUCUGGCCUUGGCCUUGGGACCCCCUAGUCAGGCUCCUCACUGUGCAGGCUGUGCCUCCGGGGAUCAGCACGCAGGGUCACCUUCAUUAUCCGCCAUGGAGGAAGUGAGGACUCCUGGCAUCUUUCUACCCAGCCCGGGGCUCUGCUGUCCAUGGGUGGAUGGGCGGUGGCAGCAGGGACAGGUGCAGUGGGCUGCACGUCUCACCCGAGGGGCUCUGGUGGGCUCUUGGGUCCCUAUGUGGCUGUUGCUCCCCUCUGGGCCUCUGCUUGGCCUUCUGUGAAGGGCACAAAGAGUCCAGUGGGACCACAUGAAGGUCACUCUCCAUGUGGAGUGGAGAGACCGCCUGGGAGAGAUGGCUGAGGGCCUGCUGGGGACCAAAGUCUGAGCUCAUAAAGAAAAGCCAGCAGUUCCUCUGUUGCUCUUUUCCUUUACAGAAUUAGUUACAUUGUCAUAAUUAAAGAAAACUCAAGGGCUGGGCUCAGUGGCUCAUGCCUGUAAACCCAGCACUUUGGGAGGCCGAGGAGGGCGGAUUGCCGGAGAUCAGGAGUUCAAGACCAGCCUGGCCAGCAUGGCGAAACCCUGUCUCUACUUAAAAAAAAAAAAAAAAAAAAAGAAUUAGCUGAGUGUGGUGGUGCACACCUGGAAUCCCAGCUGUCAGGAGGCUGAGGCAGGAGAAUCGCUUGAACCUGGGAUGGGAGACUCUGUCUCAAAACAAAAACAAAGAAACUCAUGUGAAAGAAGGCAACAUUUCCCCCCAACACAAGGAAGCUCCACAGUCCCCUGGGAGGACCCAAGGAUGCAGGCGCCCCAGACCCUGCUGGCAGGAGGACACAGUGUCUGUUGGGAGGUCAUCCUGCUGUGUCUGUUAACUAUAAAUUGCAGGUCACAUUUGAGUGUUGCUUAGCCCUUCGUCCUGAAGUUACGUGCAGUUUGUCCAGGCACGCGCCGACAAGGACUGCUCCAACCUUGUCAAAGCAGACCCCCAUAAGUGACCAGAUGGGGAGAGUGAAAUGAACCCUGGAACCUCCUGCACCCCUGGGCCUCUGCUGGAAGGGAGGCGGAUCCGUGUGCCCCAGUGCAGAAGGAGUCCAGGGAGCAUAAGAAAGUGGAAAACGCUUGCAGCAGAAUGAUGUAAAGUGUCACCCCGGUGCAUUUUCAGAAUCAGGGUGGGCUGGCGCGCCACCUGGCAGAACACGCACGAAGAUGUCAGGACCCGUGUGAGCGGCCUGAGUGGAAGGCCAGCAAGGGGGAGGGGAGGUUUUGGUGUUGUCUUCUUUUAUACCAUUUAAAUUUUCAAAACGGUGAGCAUACCGGUCUCACGCCUGUAAUCCCAGCACUGUGGGAGAUGGAGGCGGGUGGAUCAGUUGAGGUCAGGAGUUCGAGACCAGCCUGGCCAACGUGGUGAAACCCCAUCUCUCCUAAAAAAUACAAAAAAAAAAAAAAAAAAAAAAAAAAAGAUUAGCCAGACGUGUUGGUGGGUGCCUGUAAUCCCAGCUACUUUGGAGGCUGAGGCAGGAGAAUUGCUUGAGCCCAGGAGGCAGAGGUUGCAGUGAGCCGAGGUUGCACCAUUGUACUCCAGCCUGGGCAGCAAGAGCAAAACUCCAUCUCAAAAUAAAUAAAUGAAUAAUAAAUAAAAUAAAAAAUAAAAUGGUAGGUACUGCUCUCCUAUGUACGUAAACCGACUGACAUAGGCUGUUUAACAGAAGGACAUGAAUAUUCAUGACUGUGAGCACAGCCCUGCGCAGGCUCGCCUGUCCAUGGAGACCCGCCACCAGGUGGGGCAGCUGGCACUCUCCAUCCGGACCCGGAGCCCGCAGAAAGGGGGCCAGUCCCUUCCCACCCGGGUCCAGGGAGCCCACUGGAUUCAAUCUUUAGAAAUUCUAUUUCUGCAAAAGAAUUUUCGAAACCGUUUACCCCAGAAGUGACUCUGCAUGGCUUUAUUUGGGUUCAUUUCUUGAUUGUUAUGUUCUUAGAAUUUUCCUGGCGUGAAUUUUACCCUGUUUAUUACUUACAAUGUCAGGGGACAACGUGACUUGAUGAUUAUCUGUUUAUGAGGGAGCGUUUUAAGCUGAAACGGAAAAUAAGCCCCCGAGACAGAAUUAUUCAGGAGACCCCGCGUGCAUCGUCCGUGGGAAACAAGGAUACGUCACCCCCCGAGACAGAAUUAUUCAGGAGACCCCGCGUGCAUCGUCAGUGGGAAACGAGGACAUGUCACCUUGGAUUUAUUCAAGAGCAGGGUGCCUCCAAUUCAGGAUCUGGGAGGAAAAUGACUUUCUCGCUCUGAUUCCUUGCAGAAAAUACAUUGGGCGAGGGCCCUUAUUCUUACUAGACACUGUUUCUACGUUUGCUCCUUUCCUCAAACAGGAGGGCCUGGAGGGGCCAGCAGGAGUGCGGCGGGACAGGUGACCCCCUCCUCAAAGGCAGGAAAACCUUGCAGAGUAAAAGGCAGAGGUGACAAAGGCCAGAGGAAGUGGGCAUCUCUGACCCAGACGACCUCUCGGACAGGAGCCUGCCCAGGGCGGGGGAGCUGCAUGGACUUGAGAAGCCUAUGUGUGAGGGUUUGGCCAGGGGCACCCCCAGGACAGGAUGGGGCAGGGGGCAGCCGAGCGGUCACAUGGCCACGAUGGAGGCUUCGGCUGAUUCUCGGGGGGCCCUGGAGCAUGGCAGCCCCUCAGAUGGCCCCUGUCAAGGAAAUUGGCCGGACCUUUACACCUCUAAACCCCCUGUACGGCCAUUGGACGUGGGCUGCCCCUGGGGAACCUCAGCCCGGGACUGUCAUUUGGGCUGGGCAGCCGGGGACCAUGGAGUGCUCCUGCCCUGAAGGGGGCCCAGACAGCUGCCCUGUGUCACCCCAAGUUCCCCAGGACCCUCCUUCCUGGGGAAGCAGCAACUGGAAUCUUUUACUUCAGAAACUCUGCUAGGAGCUCACUUUCUCCAUCUCUUAGGCAAAGAGUUAGUUCACUUGUUAAGUCUCUCUGAGAAAUGUUAUCUCAACCAUGUUCAGUGGAAGAGGCUGCUGAAGCCGUAUCAGAAAUGAUAAGCUGAUAAGACUUAGCUAUACAACUCUGAAAUAGAAUGUUGGCAAUCAAGGUUAAAACGAUCGCAAAUGUGAUGAGGGAAACAGAUUCUGGUAAAGCCUCUCACGAGGAGGUUUCUGCACUCUUGUUAAAUGAAGGUGGUGCAGAGUAAAAAUGAGAAAGGUCACGGUUUUCUUGAGUCUCAAAAAUUUCCCCUAGAUCCAUGGAAAUGAUUCUAUUUCAGUUUUCCUUUGGCAGAAGGAAGAGGGACUCCACCGCACGUUCUAUGAGUUUUGGAAAGGCAAUACAGAACGUUUGAUAUUUUUGUAUAAAAACCUACUCAUGAUGUCCUGAAUCACUUUAUUCUGAGGUAGGGGAGGGUAAGGAGCCUCCGCAAGUCUUGAUACAGAUUUGUAGUUUCUGGCCGGGCACAGUGGCUCACACAUGUAAUCUCAGCACUUUGGAAGGCUGAGGCAGGCAGACUGCUUGGGCCCAGAAGUUUGAGACCAGCCUGGGCAACAUAGCGAGACUCUGUCUCUAAAAAAAAGGAAAAAAAAUAUGUAUACGUAUAUUUAUAUCUACGUUUGUAGACCCAGCUACUCGGGAGGCUGAGGUGGGAGGAUCGCUUGAGCCCAGGAAAUUGAGGCUGCAGUGAGCUGUGAUCGUGCCACUGUGCUGUAGCCUGGGCAACAGAGCAAGACCCUGUCUGCAAUAUAUAUCUAUAGUUGUUUUUGUAUGUAGCAGUUUGGCACUGUACAGAAAAGUAGGGCUGCAUGGAAGCUGUACCUUUCACCAGCCCAGGACCAUCCAAGGCCAGAAGGCAUUGAGGGCUGAGCAUCGGGAAGAGGCAGGUGUCCCAGGCCCCUCUGUGCCCCAGAAGACUCUGCCUAGCUUCAACCUAAGGCAGCCUUCAAAACCACUCCUGCCACAGUGCAGCAGUAUUUCCCGGGGAGAAACACCUGCCCACUUUUCUCUCGGCCUAGUGGUCAUGAAGGGAGAUGGUAAGGUCCGCUUUGACGGAUCAUGACACCCCGAGCUCAUGUUAGAAAGGGAAGGGAGAUGGCCUGGGGUCUAUCUGUGGCCACACACAAAGUUGGACCUUAGGGUGGGCUCCCUUUGCCGCCUAUGGCCUUCAGAAGGUCCCAUCUGUGAUGGUGGCUCCAGUGAGGAGGGAGUCCCCGUUUCCAAGGGUCUCCCUUGCAGAGAUGGCCGGGAACCGAGGGUGAGCACAAAUUGGGGGUGGGCACAGCCUGACGAGGGCAGCUGCUUUGGGUUUUUUUCCUCCCUUGAAUCAGAAGUUCAGAUGCAGCGUUUCCCUGGGAGUCUGGGCUUUUAAUUUUUCUCUUUUCCUUUUUAAGUUUUUUAUCAGCAGUGUUUUGUUUCACUGCCCCAAGUGGGACCGAUGAGCGGGGUGCUACUGUGUGGUUGCCCCCACAUCUGACUCACCUCAGUGCCCAGGAUGGGAGCAAAGCACAGGUGAGCUGCCCCGCCAGGCCCCUGCGGAGGGGGUGCAUGCAUGGAGACAGCUGCGGGUGUGGAGGUAAAGCACUCUCAUUCCAAGCCCAUUGCCCAGAGGGAAGAGCUGGGGGACAGAGGUGAAAGCACUUCCAGACCAAGCCGGUUGCCCGGAGACCCCUUCUUGUUUCCGUGGCAGCAGCUGCUGACCUUUCCGACCUUUCCACCUGCGUUCCGAAACCAGCGUCUCUGGUUACAACCAAAGAGGUUGCUCAGUCACACUCCUGAAAGGCAAAAGGAGGUUGGCCAGUAAAAAAGAUGUAAACCCUAGAUGUAGUUCUUAGUGUGGAAGCCACAGGAGAACUUCCAGUGUGGCCACGGGGAUCGCUGAGGCUUUUAUGCAGGUAACUGAGCUGGGUGACCAGCUGCCUGGUUAACAGUUGGGCAGAAGUGACCUAUUGUUGUGCUCUGUGCUGUCUACUUACAGCUACCGCAUAGCAACAUGGUAGAGACUGUGACGUUUUGCUCGGCAUCAGGUGAAGGCAUUCGGGAGUAAGUUUCACAACAGAAGACAGGCUCAGAAGCAGAUCAUCCGAGUCGGGGGAGAGAGGCGGCGACUAGUCAGGCUCCCUCGAAUCCCAGGCUGUGAUUAUUAUCUGCAGCCUGUGUCACCCAGGAUGAAAGGGGAUGGAAAAGCCGUGCAUACCCUUGGUGACAAAGCCACUCCUGCUCUUAAAGGCUGGAGCAGGACGUCUGACACAAUCCCAGGUCUCCAUGGAGGCAGGGGCAUGGCCGGCAGCUGUAGACCACAGCCUCCGGGCUCUGGCGUGGAGGAAUAAAAGGAAACCAGCACAGAAUUUUUUUUUUUUUGAGACGGAGUCUGGCUCUGUCCCCAGGCUGGGGUGCAGUGGUGUGAUCUUGGCUCACUGCAACCUCUGCCUCCAGGAUUCAAGUGAUUCUCCUACAUCAGCCUCCUGAGUAGCUGGGAUUACAGGUGCUGGCCACCACGCCAGGCUAAUUUUUGUAUUUUUAGUAGAGACAGGGUUUCACCGUGUUGGCCAAGCCGGUCUUGAACUCCUGACCUCAUGAUCCACUCGCCUCAGCCUCCCAAAGUCUUGGGAUUACAGGCGUGACCCAUCGCGCCCGGCCAGCACAGAAUAUUUUUAAUUGAAAAAGGAGGGGGCUGCUUUGUGAAUUUUUUUUUUUUUUUUUUUUUUUUUUUUUGAGAUGGAGUCUUGCUCUGUCCCCAGGCUGGAGUGCAGUGGUGCGAUCUUGGCUCACUGCAACCUCUGCCUCCAGGAUUCAAGCGAUUCUCCUACAUCAGCCUCCCGAGUAGCUGGGAUUACAGGUGCUGGCCGCCAUGCAGGCUAAUUUUUGUAUUUUUAGUAGAGGCGGGGUUUCCCCAUGUUGGCCAGGCUGGUUUCCUGACCUCAGGUGAUCCUCCCUCCUCGGCCUCCCAAAGUGCUGGGAUUACAGGUGUGAGCCACUGUGCCCAGCCCAACUUUGUGAAAAUUCUAAAGGAUCAAGAGCAGACUGGGAAAGUGGGACCUUGGUCUUUAAGGCUCAGCUUAGGGAGGUGACAGCUGUCUGCAGCCGUGUCCAGGAAGUGGUCCACGGUCAAGGGAGAACUCUGUAAUCUGAGUGUGGAGAAAGGUAUUGCACAGUCCCCAGACACCCCUAAACAUUUCUUCAGAGCCAUCUGAGAACCGGCCCUAUCUGGGUCAUUGCCAUAGACAGAGGACACAGCUUGGGGUGCAGAGGACCCAGCCUGGCCCUGAGGCUGAACCAUCUGAAAUAGAUCCUGGACACUUGUGGAGGCGGAGCAGCUCUGCUGCCCCGAAACCCCGGGAUGGACACAGGAAGACGAGCCUGUGCUUUGUACACCAAAGAAAAUGACUGAGGAGUCUCAAUCUAUCGAGAGGUUUAUUUUGCCGGGGCUGAGGACGUGCCCAGGGGAAAGUGUCGGCAAACCAGAUCCGCGGCUUCAGGAGAAGGACGGGCUCCGCGGGCUAGGCGGGUCUGAAGGAGCACAGUAGGACCUGCGGCCUGCACGAUUUCCAAAGAGGGUUUGAGAACUUCAGUAUCCAAAGAGGAAAGAGCAGACAGUAGGGAAAAACGGAAAGAAAAAAACGGGAGGGUGGAUAAAAGAGGCCAGCGUUGCAUUCUUUUGAGGCGUUGAUGAGCCUUCCCUGAAUCCCCGUUUUCCAUGGGAAAGGCGGAAGAGGAACAGUAAACUGUGCAUUCAUCCCGUGCUCAGUGAACCUGCAUCUUUAUGGAAGAAGAACAGUAGAGGAGGGAGUCAAAGAUGCCUUUGUCUCCUGUGAGCGGAGGGAAGACUUCUAGUCCUGUCUUUGUCCCAUACCUGUGCAGAUAAGCUGUUAAUUUACAUUUUCAGGGUGAAAUUCAGCAGAACUCUGUUUUAGGACAAAGUUCUUGGAAAAGAAAGAAAAAAAAAGAUGUGUUGCCUGUAAUCCCAGCACUUUGGGAGGCCGAGGCAGGCAGAUCACCUGUCAGGAGUUCGAGACCAGCCUGGCCAACACGGUGAAACCCCAUCUCUACUAAAAAUACAAAAAUUAGCCAGGCGUGGUGGCACACGCCUGUAGUCCCAGCUACUUGGGAGGCUGAGGCAGGAGAAUCACUUGAACCCGGGAGGUGGAGGCUGCAGUGAGCCCAGACCCUGCCACUGCACUCCAGCCUGGGCAACAAGAGCGAAACCCCAUCUCAAAAAAAAAAAAAAAAAAAAAGAUCUUGGGGACCACAAUGUAUUUCCUUGUGAGCAAACAGUGAGGGGGGCCCCCUGGGGAGGGGAGUAUCCUUCUGUCUUUGCAUCUGUCUAUUUAGGAAGACACGGGAGGUAGUUUUGGGUGACCCAGUUCCCAAGCUUAACUCUUCUUUUUGGCAUAGUGAGUUUGGGGUCCUGAGAUUUUUAUUUUCCUUUUACCUCUUUAAGCUGGAGGAGAAGGAAACUUCUCAGGGAUUAUCCCAGCACAUUAUCUUAUCUUCCUGGGCUUGAGAUAAGACAGAACUGCCUUUGGGCUGCCUGUGUCCCUGGGAGUCCAGAGACCCUGGGUGAUAUGGCCGGGCAGAUGGCAGAGAAAGCUCCAUUGAAAAUGUCCUGCUCCAAACCUGAGAUUCUUAUCCUGUCUUAGUAAAACUUGUAAAAAUGUGAUGGAUACAUUACGAUCUCUGUAACCGCCCAAAGAGUUUACCUUGCCUGCUGUGUAGAUAGCGCCAUUUUAUCAAGACAGAGGAAUUGCAGUGGAGAAAGAAUAAUUCAUGCAGAGCCGGCUGUGCAGGAGACCGGAGUUUUAUCGUUACUCAAAUCAGUCUCCCCGAGCAUUGGGGGAUGAGAGUUUUUAAGGACAGCCUGGUGGGUGGGGGAAGCCAGUGAGCCGGGAGUGCUGACUGGUCGGAAAUGAAAUAGGGAGUCAUAGCUGUCUUCUUGCGCUGAGUCAGUUCCUGGGUGGGGAACUGACUCACAAGAUCAGAUGAGCCAGUUUAUCGAUCUGGGUGGUGCCGGCUGAUCCAUCAAGUGCAGGGUCUGCAAAAUAUCUCAAGCACUGGUCUUAGGUUUUACAAUCGUGAUUUUAUCUCCGGGAGCAGUUUGGGGGGAGUCAGAAUCUUGCAGCCUCCAGCUACAUGACACCGAACCAUAAUUUCUAAUCCUGUGGCUAAUUUGUUAGUCCUACAAAGGCAUCUAGUCCCCAGGCAAGAAGGGGUUUUGUUUUGGGAAAGGGCUGUUAUUCUCUUUGUAUCAAACUAUAAACUAUUAAUAUAAACUAAAUUCCUCCCAAGGGGAGUUCAGCCUACACCCAGGAAUGCACAAGGACAGCUUGGAGCUUAGAAGCAAGUGGAGUUGGUUCAUCUCUUUCACUGGCUCAUAAUUUUGCAACGGCGGUUUCAUCUCUACCCUGACAAUACCUUUUAGUUUUCUUACCCACUGGGGUUGAGACUUAAUUGAAGACCUCAGACGGACAGAAUAACACGGAACCUGAGACCUUGAUUUGCAGGGACAGGCUUAAAGUGUAUUCUGGAGUUGGUGCCCCCACCCCAGGGGCCGGCUCAGAGGGUUCACUUUCCAGCCUAACUGCAGGGGAACCAGAGGCUGCCGACCUGGAUCUCACCUUGACGGAGGUCUUGUCACCUUCCUCCUUGGCUGGAGAGACAGACUGUGGAUGCUCUCCUGCUGGCCACCCAAAAACAAACAAACAGACAAACAAAUAUGAAUGAGGAAAACUUGAAGAGGCCCCACGUGCCAGAGGUGGGACAGCUUGAGAUUUGGUGAGGAUAAUUGCAGUGGCUCAAAACCCAUAAAGAAGUUUAAGUCCAUGAGUUCACCGUAAUCUUAAACAAAAACAAAAACAAAAACAAAUUGAUCAUCUUUGGAGGCUAACAAUCAAUUCAUUAUCUAGAGACAGACAGAGGCUCACUAGUGGCACGAUCUUGGCUGACUGCAUCUUCCACCUCCUGGGUUCAAGAGCUUCUUGUGCCUUAGCUUCCUGAGUAGCUAAGAUUACAGGUGUCCACCACCACGCCCGGCUAAUUUUUGUAUUUUUAGUGGAGAUGAGGUUUCACCAUGUUGGCCAGGCUGGUCUUGAACUCCUGACCUCAAGUGAUCUGCCCGCCCUGGCCUCCCAAAGUGCUGGGAUUACAGGCGUGAGCUACUGUGGCCGGCCACAUUUCCCUUCUGGUGCGCGUCCUCCUGUAGCUGUGGGAUCAGGGGAGGUAGAGAUGUCUUGUAACUGACUCAAGUUUGGCUGCUUGCCGCAGGAGAAGCGAGGUGUGGUGAAAGGAAAGCAACUUUUAUUCAGAUGCUAGCAGGUGGAAGAGUGGCCAGGCUCAAGGCUCCAAGGAACCAUCUCAGCUUUUUGGACUGCGUGAAGGGCUUUAGGAAGGAGAACUCGGUGUGGGAGACAUGUGGGAGUAGAGCAGUGGUGCAGGUGUCUUGAGUCAUUGCCCAUCCGGAGGUCUAGUUGGCAUCAUCUUGACCUUGGUCUGGUGGUGGGGGACUCAUUGUUCAUAACUCCCCUAGACAGGAGGAUUCCACAGCUGGGUUCUAUGCCUGGCAUUUCUAAGCAGGCACAGAAUGAGAUAAGUGAGCACUGUGGCUGGUGGGAAAGGGAGGGAAACAGGUUUAAAGUAUGUUUCAAGGCUGCAUUCUGAGACUAGGAGGGAAAGGAGGAAAAACUUUAAAAUUCUUCUCAAGGCUGAGAUAUUUGACUACAGUCUCAUGCCCAAAAUGUUUCUAUUCUACGCUGAGACCUGAUAGAUAAUUUGGCUGCAUACCUGGAGUCCAGUGUGUGCACCUGCCCCUCCCAUCCCAGACUCGCAGCCAGUGGAAAAGUCUGCAAAAGGAAGCCAGCUGGGAGUGCCCACCAGAGUCAAAAUCUGGGGCAGGCUGGUGGACUCAAGAGGAGUCUUAAAUAUUGGAAAUGUCAUCAUAAACCAUCUGGGAAGCCCCCUCCUCUUAAAAAGGACAUAAAGUCAAAGUGAACAGGUGUGCUCACUCCAAGCCUGUGCCCACAACCACAGUGCCCUUCACAUUCAGAGUCAUGGCCACUAGCCACAAAAUUGUGACUUACAGUUCACAAAAUUGGGACAUAUUUACAUGUUGACUAAGUUGGGAAAUAAUUGGGUUUUCUUUAAAAGUAGUAAAAGUAAAGAAGAAAAAGUCAAAAAGGUCUGACAUCUAAGAGGGUGAAAUUUCCUUACUUUAGAUCACAAGCAAUUAGGCUGAUCCCGCCUGAGCCCCGAGCUCCCUGGGACCCAGCAGCAGCUGUGCAUUGGCACGUGGUGCCCUGUGUCUGAUCAGCUGACUCCUCAGGCAAAACCUGCACCAUUUUCACCAGAAUUGCAGAUGUCCUCAGUGUCAUUACAAAGUUCCUAAGUCAUGACCAUUCUGUCCUGUGGAACCAGGCUGGACUAAGCUCCCAUUUCUUUAAGCCAUCCUGUCCCCUGCAGGGACUUCCAAGGUUGAGCUGAUGAGCAAUAGUUAUGAGUCACUGGAGGAGACAUCCCAGAGGCGCCAGCUCCCCUCUGCCCUAAACUGAAAUUAAGACCUGGUGCUCUGGGUGGGGCCCCUGGAAGGGGAUGUGCAACUCAGAGGGGACCUUCUCCACCUCCACCCAGGAGACCCCAGAGGGACCAUGGCAGAGCCGGAGCCCUCUAUUUUUUUGUUCGUUUUUUAUUUUAUUAUUAUUAUACUUUAAGUUUUAGCCCUCUUUUAAAAACCAAAUGAAAAUAAGCAAAAGAAGCCAAUCGUCUCUGUGAAAUGUCCAGAAGAGGGAACUCUGUAGAGACAGAGAGGAUAUUAUUGGCUGCCGGAGGCUAGGAAUGGGAAGGUGAGGGGCCUGGGGAGGUGAUGGUUAAAAGAUUCUUCUUUGUGGUGAUGAAAUUGUCUUAAAAUGGACUGUGGUGAUAGUUGUGCAACUUGGUGAAUAUAUAAGUUAUUGAAUUGUACACUUUAAAUGGGUGAAUUGUAUGGUGUGUGAAACAUAUCUCAAUAAAGCUGUUAUUUGAAAAAUAAA